AACGAACGCUGGCGGCGUGGAUAAGACAUGCAAGUCGCACGGGAUUUUACUUGUAGCAAUACCGGUAAAGUCCAGUGGCGCAAGGGUGCGUAACACGUGGGCAAUCUGCCGAGAAGCGGGGGAGUAGCUCGCCGAAAGGACGAAUUAAUACCGCAUGUGGCCAGGGAAGGACAUCUUCCCGACCGCCAAAGACCGGGGCGAACCUGGCGCUUCUUGAUGAGCCCGCCGGCCUAUCAGCUAGUUGGUGAGGUAACGGCUCACCAAGG
rnacentral:rRNA from 1 species